ACGAACGCUGGCGGCGUGCUUAACACAUGCAGUCGCACGGAAAGGCCCUGCUUGCAGGGUACUCGAGUGGCGAACGGGUGAGUAACACGUGGGUGAUCUGCCCUGCACUUCGGGAUAAGCCUGGGAAACUGGGUCUAAUACCGGAUAGGAGCCAUUUUUAGUGUGAUGGUUGGAAAGUUUUUUCGGUGUAGGAUGAGCUCGCGGCCUAUCAGCUUGUUGGUGGGGUAAUGGCCUACCAAGGCGGCGACGGGUAGCCGGCCUGAGAGGGUGGACGGCCACAUUGGGACUGAGAUACGGCCCAGACUCCUACGGGAGGCAGCAGUGGGGAAUAUUGCACAAUGGGCGCAAGCCUGAUGCAGCGACGCCGCGUGGGGGAUGACGGCCUUCGGGUUGUAAACUCCUUUCGCUAGGGACGAAGCUUUUUGUGACGGUACCUAGAUAAGAAGCACCGGCUAACUACGUG
rnacentral:rRNA from 1 species